CCUGUCUCAGUUCGGAUUGGAGUCUGNAACCCGACUCCAUGAAGCUGGAUUCGCUAGUAAUCGCGCAUCAGCCACGGCGCGGUGAAUACGUUCCCGGGCCUUGUACACACCGCCCGUCAAGCCAUGGGAGCCGGGGGUACCUGAAGUGCGUGACCGCAAGGAGCGCCCUAAGGUAAAACCGGUGACUGGGGCUAAGUCGUAACAAGGUACC
rnacentral:rRNA from 1 species